GAUGAACGCUGGCGGCGUGCCUAAUACAUGCAAGUCGAGCGAACAGAUAAGGAGCUUGCUCCUUUGACGUUAGCGGCGGACGGGUGAGUAACACGUGGGUAACCUACCUAUAAGACUGGAAUAACUCCGGGAAACCGGGGUUAAUGCCGGAUAACAUUUAGAACCGCAUGGUUCUAAAGUGAAAGAUGGUUUUGCUAUCACUUAUAGAUGGACCCGCGCCGUAUUAGCUAGUUGGUAAGGUAACGGCUUACCAAGGCAACGAUACGUAGCCGACCUGAGAGGGUGAUCGGCCACACUGGAACUGAGACACGGUCCAGACUCCUACGGGAGGCAGCAGUAGGGAAUCUUCCGCAAUGGGCGAAAGCCUGACGGAGCAACGCCGCGUGAGUGAUGAAGGUCUUCGGAUCGUAAAACUCUGUUAUUAGGGAAGAACAAAUGUGUAAGUAACUGUGCACGUCUUGACGGUACCUAAUCAGAAAGCCACGGCUAACUACGUG
rnacentral:rRNA from 1 species